ACCCUCCUGGACUCUUUUUUCUCUCUGAACUAAACCCUCCCAUGCCUCAGUCUGCAUCAUCCAAUCACGGGGUACAAAGAGGAUCUUGAUGUAAAAAUGCUGCAAUUUUAUUUAUACCUUGUUGCAAGAUUAAUUGUCACCGGUUGAUUUUUGUCCAUUGUUGAUGUCGUUCAUACAAGCUCUUGGCCUCAGGCUGGGGAGUUUUAUUGUUUGUUUGUCGGUUGUUUUUUUUUCAAAAGCCUUUUUCAUUAAAUGUAAGCAAAUCUUGUCCUAAUAGCUCUCAGCCAUAAUGACUUGAUCGUAUCUUUUAACGACAUUUUUAAAGAAUAUUGAAAUGUUUCCAACAAUUUUUUCCCCCUCUUCUGUUCCAUGAGUAUAAUGAUUGCUUAAUCCAUAAUAAUUUUCGCUGGCCAUUUUGUGGCAGGCAGUCGUCCUCCAAAGUUUUUUUUGCCAAAUUAUGUUGACUAUGUCUCUGGUCCUGCGGAAGUAGCUGUGAACACAGUGAACGCAGGUGUGGAAUGCCAUAGAUGUCUGAGUUCUCGCCAUUCCUCGAAUGAGACAUUGGCAGUCAGUUGCAGUCUUGUCCUUGUAAGGCCUUCUUACGAUUCAUAACUAUGUGGGGUUUUUUUGUGAGAGGAAGUUUGUCAGAUUGUGUUUUACUGCUCAUGUUGUGAACUGGGGAGGACUGAUUUCAUUUUUCCUUAUACUUUUUAAGUGUAGAUAUGAUAUUAUCUGUUAAAGGUGUACGAACGAAAUAGGAAACAGGUUGUAGUUAAAGGAAACAGGUUUCAGUAAAAGGAACCUGGUUUUAGAAAAAGGAAACAGGCUUUAGUAAAAGGAACCAGGUCUUAGAAAAAGGAAACAUGUUUUAGUAAAAGGGACCAGGUCUAAGAAAAAGGAAACAUGUUGUAGUUAAACAAAAACGAAAUUUGAAGGAUCCUUUUUCUUCUUCUUCUUGUUGUUGUGAAUGCAACAAACCAAAAGAUGGGUGAAGAUACCCCUUAGCGUCUCCCCAUUCAUCGCGGUUUGCAGCCUGGAAAAGAAUGGCUCGGAUAGCUUGCAUAAACGAAAUAAAUAGUUCUUCUUCAACAAUUUUUUUCAUGGUUCCGAACUGUGGGCUCUGGUUUCAAUGACGAUAUUUUUUACGUGCUGUACUACGUUUUGCGAAUCACA